AGGUUCAAGUGUCGAGUCAGGUGAAACGAGGGAUACCAGGUGAGAGCAAGGAUGACAGGUGUAACGAAGGAAUGAUAGGAACAAAAGCGAGAUAGGAUAGGCAAGGGAGAGAUAGCGACAGGUAGGGUUCACGUGCCGAGUCAGGUGUUCCCUCCGCGGCGGCCGUCGGGGCAGGGCUGAGCGUGAGGCAGGUGUAAGGGAGGCGCGGGUGACGUCACAGGGGUGUGCGCCGUACGGAGGUGUGAGCGUGUGGCGGCAGCGUGGCGGCGGCGGCUGGGGUGUCGAGACGCGAGAGGAACGAGUAGGUGUGUGUGAAGGGAGACAGCGGCCGCUUGUCGUGCCUGUCCUCCACCCUCGCCACAGCACACCACGCCGCCUCAUCCCCUCCCUAUUCCUUCCACGCCUCCUCCUCGUGCCCUCCUUCUCUCCUAUUUCUACCAUUUAAUUAACCGGACAGUCAACACAGAAAAAAAAACCCAUUGACAUACACCGAAAAAAGAAACAUGGAGGGCGAUCCAAUUUGCACUGAAAACAUAACUUGAAACCGAAAAAUUAAGUGAAUGCUAAAAGUUGUUUGGUGAGUGAUGCGAUAACCAGGUCGAAGGAGAAAUGUCGAGUAGUGUCCUUGUCGUCGAGUAAGUGAAGAAAAGUGUGAGAGUCGCCGCCACAGCCACAUGGACCUGAGGACCCGUUGUAAAGGAGACAGCUAACGCGGGAGGCGGCAGCAUGUACGGGGCGGUGGGCGCGGCGGUGAGGUCACACCGCAAGAAGUCGCUGAGUCGGCAGACGGCGAAGCCUCAACGCACCCCGGCCAAGAAGGGCAAGGGCCACCUCCACCUGGCCAAGACCCACGCCACACCCCAGGCGAGGUCUGCACACCCGAGGAGACUGGGCGUUGCUUAAUUCCUCGACGGCUACCUUGUGGAAGGACUCAGCCUCUUCUCCACCUCCUCUCCUGCCACCGACCACCACCACCACCACCAUCACUUCCACCACUACUACUGCUCCUCCCACUCCACACUCUUCGCCUCUUUGAACUUUUACCUCCCUCUCUGUCACUUUAGACCUUGACCAUACUAGCUGACGCACCACACUGAGUGGUAGUGACUGGUCGCCAUGGCACAGUGGUUGUGGUGGAGGGAGGCACUGUUCCUCUCUCCUUGCACGAAGUCAAAGUAGCAUUGACUGGGUGCUCCUUCCUGACUGUGACGCGUCGGCUCAGCUUAAUGGUGUUGGGUGUUUUGUGUUGACUGUGGCACCAGCAUGCAGGCCGCUCUCUACGUCCGCAAUAAGAGGAGGAGGCGUAGUAAACACAAGCAGCAGGCGCCGACAGGCAGCCUUCCGCCCCACGCCGCCACCCAGCCCAUCAAACCCUUCCCGCGCUACAACCCCAUCCAGGUGAGUGGCGCCGCUCGUCGUUAGGACCACCACGAAGGUAAGUCAACCGCCCCGCAGAGCGUACAUGAAGCAAGAUCAUGACCUUGUCUUCCCUGCUUUGAUCCCCCCCGAUCCCUAAAGAAUUAAGCAGCCUGCACAAUCUCAGUAAGGGACGAGAACCCAGAGACACACAAAGGUGGAGAGGAGUAGGGUUUGAAGACCCCCCCACACGCCUGGCCGCCAGCCUGCCGCUGCCUCUGGACGCCUCAGGGACCAACAGGUGAGUCGCGUUGAGAUCCAAACACUGUGUUGAAGCAUGCCAUGCUUGGUGGAUUUUGUCGAUGUUCCGCAGUGUUCGGUGGAAGCAAGCAAGGAAUGAUGCAUGUCGUGCCUGCUGCGACUGUCUGAUGAAUUUCACGAUUCAAAGUUGAUGAUCUUUUAGUCUUUUUUUCCGCAGAACACGAAAGGGCGGGGAUAUCUCCUGCACGAAGCAUGAGAGGUAUGCAAACCGUGUCCGCAAAAUGAGGGGAAUAAACUUUGUCCUGCACUUAAG